GCCCCCGUGAGAAUGCCCCACAGUUUCCCUUCCUGAAACAAGGAGCAGGUAUCAGGCACACCUCAGUAGCCCACUACGCCUUGCUUUGCCACACCCCCAAGGGACUUCAGCAGUGAUAGAUAUUAAGCAAUAAGUGAAAACUUGACUUAGUUAUAAGCCUAUAGAGCCGGUUAAACUCGUGCCAGCCACCGCGGUUAUACGAGAGGCUCAAGCUGACAGACCCUCGGCGUAAAGGGUGGUUAAAAUUACACUAGUACUAAGGCCGAAUGCAAUCAAAACUGUUAUACGUAAUCGAGUGCUAGAAGACCCAUCACGAAAGUAGCCUUAUCUAAUUGAACCCACGAAAGCUAGGGUACAAACUGGGAUUAGAUACCCCACUAUGCCUAGCACUAAACCUAGAUGAAUAAGUUACACAACCCAUCCGCCUGGGAACUACGAGCACUAGCUCAAAACCCAAAGGACUUGGCGGUGCUUAAUAUCCCCCUAGAGGAGCCUGUUCUAGAACCGAUAACCCUCGUUAAACCUCACUCUUUUUUGCCUACCGCCGCCUAUAUACCGCCGUCGUCAGCUUACCCUGUGAAGGAAUAAUAGUAAGCAAAAUCAGUAACACUCAAAACGUCAGGUCGAGGUGUAGCAAAUGAAAGAGGAAGAAAUGGGCUACAUUUCCUACACCGUAGGAAACACGAAAAGUUUACUGAAAAUUAAACUAGAAGGAGGAUUUAGUAGUAAGGGAGAAAUAGAGCGUCCCCCUGAAAUUGGCCCUUAAGCGCGCACACACCGCCCGUCACUCUCCCCAAGCUAAGAAACAUCAAUUCGUAAUACUACUUAACAGCAAAGGGGAGGCAAGUCGUAACAUGGUAAGUGUACCGGAAGGUGUACUUGGGCAAAC
rnacentral:ncRNA from 1 species